GUGGGGAAUAUUGCGCAAUGGCCGAAAGGCUGACGCAGCGACGCCGCGUGGGGGAUGAAGCAUUUCGGUGUGUAAACCCCUGUUGCCCGGGACGAACAACUGGUUUUGACCAGUCUGACGGUACCGGGUGAGGAAGCACCGGCUAACUCCGUGCCAGCAGCCGCGGUAAUACGGAGGGUGCGAGCGUUGUCCGGAAUCACUGGGCGUAAAGGGCGCGUAGGCGGUCUGCUAAGCGUGCGGUGAAAGCCUGGGGCUCAACCCCAGGUCGGCCGUGCGAACUGGUGGACUUGAGCACUGUAGAGGCAGGUGGAAUUCCGGGUGUAGCGGUGGAAUGCGUAGAGAUCCGGAAGAACACCGGUGGCGAAGGCGGCCUGCUGGGCAGUAGCUGACGCUGAGGCGCGACAGCGUGGGGAGCAAACAGGAUUAGAUACCCGAGUAGUCC
rnacentral:rRNA from 1 species